AGUGAACGCUGGCGGUAGGCCUAACACAUGCAAGUCGAACGGCAGCACAGUAAGAGCUUGCUCUUACGGGUGGCGAGUGGCGGACGGGUGAGGAAUACAUCGGAAUCUACUUUUUCGUGGGGGAUAACGUAGGGAAACUUACGCUAAUACCGCAUACGACCUACGGGUGAAAGCAGGGGAUCUUCGGACCUUGCGCGAUUGAAUGAGCCGAUGUCGGAUUAGCUAGUUGGCGGGGUAAAGGCCCACCAAGGCGACGAUCCGUAGCUGGUCUGAGAGGAUGAUCAGCCACACUGGAACUGAGACACGGUCCAGACUCCUACGGGAGGCAGCAGUGGGGAAUAUUGGACAAUGGGCGCAAGCCUGAUCCAGCCAUACCGCGUGGGUGAAGAAGGCCUUCGGGUUGUAAAGCCCUUUUGUUGGGAAAGAAAAGCAGCAGGUUAAUACCCCGCGGUUCUGACGGUACCCAAAGAGUAAGCACCGGCUAACUUCGUG
rnacentral:rRNA from 1 species